UACGUAGGGUGCGAGCGUUAAUCGGAAUUACUGGGCGUAAAGCGUGCGCAGGCGGUUCGUUAAGUUCGCUGUGAAAGCCCCGGGCUCAACCUGGGAACUGCAUUGGAAACUGGCGAGCUUGAGUGCGGCAGAGGGGGGUGGAAUUCCGCGUGUAGCAGUGAAAUGCGUAGAGAUGCGGAGGAACACCGCUGGCGAAGGCAGCCCCAUGGGCCGACACUGACGCUCAGGCACGAAAGCGUGGGGAGCAAACAGG
rnacentral:rRNA from 1 species